GAAGCACCUUGUAAACACGGCACAUUUACGUAACGUGUCCGCCCGCUGACGUUCUCCCAUCGUGACGUUUGGACCGCGGGUCACGGUUAACCUUCACAGAGAGAGCUGUGAAACGGUGGGCCCGGCGAGGACAAUGUGUGCCGUAUCUUAGGAUUAGGUGAAUGUCAGGGCGAGGAAAUCUCCGAGGGUUUUCGUUUGAUCUCCUCGCGCCUGGCCCUCUGUUUUUGUGCCUCCGAAGGGGCUCUCUGCUCACUAGGUAGUGUCCUUAAUAGGGAAUAAGGGGUCUGUUUAGGAAGCAGGGUGUGUGCGUGUGUUGAUCGGGCGCCAAGACCGUCUCUGGUUGCUAGGCCUUUUUGCCGUGGCACCUCCUGCUGUGAUUUCAUUUCACCAAGGGUAUGCUGGGACAGAACACCAGACACAAUGCGUAUUCAGUAUUCACGAAUCAGCAUAACCAGACAAGCAAAGCGAGGCGGUGUAAUAUUGUACGCUCACACAGAGGGGCUUGUCUUUCAUCUACCCAGGCAAGGACCAAUAAAGUAGUUCCCCUGGGGUACCAAGAUCCCAGCAGAAAUUACGCCUAACCAUCACUUGUUAUGAACACACCUGUCAGACCCUGAAUUCAAAUGGGCUUGCUUUUUUUUGUUCAGCUUUUUUACUAUAAUUUUUUUUUUAAUGUAUUUUCAAGCGACCUGAUCAAAUAGCAGCAGGAAUGGCUAUACAGGACGAGACACGAUACAGUCCGUGUGAGUGUACGCAAAGACGCGAGUGUGUGCAAAGCUGUUUCCAGAUGUAAAUACAGGUUUAUGGGCGGUUUAAAUCCUGAAAGCUGAUUGGCUGAAAACCGUGUCAUGUGAGAGAGUACACGAAGGAUGUGACAUCACCUAACGCUUUACGUCUGUUUGCGUUGGUGAGUCCAACUGUAAUAGCAGUUGAGCAUCCCGGGGGCUUGAGGUAUAUUGACAACAUAACAUGGACAAGUGCUUCAUCUAGGCAGUCUGUUUAAGAACAGCUAUUAGCCACGCUAUAUUAGCCAUAAACCACACUGCCUCAUUCUUUAUUGCGUGAAUAUUAUUGAGGGUGAGGAUCGAAUGGGGCGACCUUUUGCAAGCAACACGCGUGAUAACCCUGUGCCUGUUUUCAUCGUGCUGCUUUAGCCACAUUUAGGUUGGGGGUUUUGGUAUCGUGUUACAGUAUUGUGAGAACUGUCGCGUCUGCCAGUUGGUUCAUCCACAUCUCGGGCUAACGCGCUAACGAUCUAUCAUGGGACCAAACGAGCAAAGCAGACAAUCUAACCGCCGAGCGGCGUGUUGUCAAUUGGCGCCGGCUGACUGGCAGACAGUCCCAUUAUCAUUAAGGGGCUCAUGUGUCGGCUUUACCAGUUCCUUGGGAGCUAAGGAUAGCAGGCUGCCUUGUCUGGGCUUGCCUCGAUACUCUUAUUAAAUGAGUUGUGACUGAACGAAAGCCUUGCGCGGUGGUGGCCAAUCGCCAGCUUGUCGGGUGUUUAAGACGCCAGAUUGCCUCGCCGCCAUCCUCCGAGACCCCGGCCUCCAUUAGCGACAACGUGGCUUCUCUCAUUCUUCCUCUCCGGCAGAACGCAUCGUUUCCUGCCCACCAGCGAACCCCCCAGAGGGUGCUGUGCGCCUUCUGCUAGCCCAUAAUGACAUAAUGUCGUACACAGGGUUGCGCCACGAGUCCCGGCUGCAGGAAGUGAGACCUGGCAGGCUGUUAUCAAGCCAGCUCUAAAACAGUGCCUUUUACAUGGCCGCAGAGGCAACGUUUUGCACUUUUUGUCGUGAUUAGCUGAGGAACAAAAGUAUAAGCUAAAUUAAAGCAUAUCUCUUGUGGUUUUACAUACUAAGGCGUGGCCUUUCUUGUGCCCUGUCCUCGAUUUCGCUGGGCUACGUAAAUGUGUCCAGAAAUAAUUUUUGACACAUUUUUGCUUUAUACUUCGUUGAUUAAGAAGAAACACAGGGAAAGAUAGAGGAUUGUGCUGAAAUAGAAGUGGGAGUUUAACCCAUGGAGAAAUAGUAGUGGAUGGGAGUUUAACCCAUGGAUAAAUAGUUGUGGAUGGGAGUUUAACCCAUGGAGAAAUAGUAGUGGAUGGGAGUUUAACCCAUGGAUAAAUAGUUGUGGAUGGGAGUUUAACCCAUGGAGAAAUAGUUGUGGAUGGGAGUUUAACCCAUGGAGAAAUAGUAGUGGAUGGGAGUUUAACCCAUGGAGAAAUAGUAGUGGAUGGGAGUUUAACCCAUGGAGAAAUCGUAGUGAAUGGGAGUUUAACCCAUGGAGAAAUAGUAGUGGAUGGGAGUUUAACCCAUGGAUAAAUAGUUGUGGAUGGGAGUUUAACCCAUGGAUAAAUAGUUGUGGAUGGGAGUUUAACCCAUGGAGAAAUCGUAGUGAAUGGGAGUUUAACCCAUGGAGAAAUAGUAGUGGAUGGGAGUUUAACCCAUGGAGAAAUAGUAGUGGAUGGGAGUUUAACCCAUGGAGCAGCUAUACUGUGAGAUGCCCCUCGGCCACCAGCAAAUCAUUUGUUUUAAUAGGCAUUCUCUCUUGUUAUAUCAGUCAAACUUCAACCCCAAAUUACUUUCAGCCUUUUCAUAACUGUGCACUCAUUAAUUACAGUUUCAACAGUAUAGCUCAUUUGCUUUGUCUUUGUAUGCCUUGUUCUGAUUUUCUAGAAUAAUUACUCUUCUCAACCUUAAAUUAUUGCCACCUCCAAAGAGCAAAAUAAAAAAGCUCCAAAAUAAAAUAAACAACAGUUAAUGAGCUACAAUGUAAUUUUCCAACAGAUAUUGCACUUCACUAAUGAUUUAAGGCUAUCAGCCCAAAUUUUACAUUUCUCUGCUUGAACACGUAUUUCCCAGAAAACAUAUGUGUCGGUUAUUUGCCCCCUAUUGUGUACUUAUCGCCCCCCAUUGCCCCCUACGGCCCCCUAUCAACCCCAUUACCUCUUACUGCCUCCCAUCGCCCCCCAUUGCCUCCUACUGCCUCCUAUUGCCCCCCAUUGCCUCUUACUGCCUCGUAUCGCCCCCCCAUUGCCUCCAUCUUCCUCCUAUUGCCCCCCAAUUGCCUCUUACUGCCUCCUAUCGCCCCCCAUUGCCUGCCUAUUGGCUGCCUAGGUCUGCCUAGGUCUGCCUAGGUCUGCCUAGGUCUGCGUGGCCGAUGAGCUCUUUUCACUUCAUCUGACCAUAUAACCUGUGCCCAAGCCAAUUCGCAAACUCAAGGCAUUUGCUUUUUUGGGUUGCUCUCAAUAAAGGCUUGAUUCCGGCAGCCCUUUCAAGUAGGCGUGUGGAGGGGCUUCUCAUUGUAGAUUUGGAUCCUUGGUGACCCCAACAUGCGACCAAGUUCUGAACAUCUCCAGCUGUGGGCUUCGGGUUCUGCUUUGCCUCCCGCGUCAUUGUGUGGAGAGAAGAUGCACUUCCAUGCUCCGCCAGGCUGGUUUAACACCACCACUGGUAUUGGAACUUCUUCAUUAUUAAUAAGUACCAAUACCAGCCUCAUUUGCCCUUUCGUCAAGGGUGCCAAUCAUUUUGAAUUUAAGUAUAUGAAAUCCACCGCCCUCUCGCAGAUUUCAAAGGAGAAACUAAAAAGGAAAUUGUAGCCAAGCUGUUCUUGUCAGCAGCUAGCCAUGCCCCCCCUCAAAUCUCACUGUAUACUGUUAAUUAUUUACACGUUUAGACAAAAUCCCAGGGAGGAAUGAAUGAAUACUGUCUCAGCCAGUAGCUCAGACGUGACCUUGCCCGUACAAAGAAGAGGCACUCUUUUCAUAAAUAAACUGUAUAGAGAUUGACUCAGAGAAGAAUAUGAAUGUAGCUAAAGUACACGAAUAAUGGCUGAGCUCGGAUUUGCUCCGUAUGUGAGAGGAAAAGCUGUUUUGAAAGUACUGGGUAGUGUUUGAACAGGCUGUGUGUAAACAGACUAAGCUAUUCAGCUCUGCAGAAAAUCCAUGAAUCAAUGUGAUACCCUAAUCUACUUUGUUUCUUUUUGGUAUGAGGGGGAUCAAGUUUAGGGAAUCUGUUUCAAAUAGUGUAUAGUACUUUUAUCAGGAUGGUAAUAAUAUCCGAAAGCAGUACCGCGGCUUGAAUAA